rnacentral:lncRNA from 1 species
UACUGUACCAUAAAUAUGCAUAAGUGCAACUACUAUGAUGUCCACAAGUAACUAGUAAAUUAUCAAUGUUUACUGACUUGUCAAUUUGUUCAUUUACUAAUUGGUUCCACUUGUUCCAAAUCUCAUAGGACCUACCCGUGGGUAGUCCGGCUUGCACCGUGCCUAAUAGCCCCAUGGUAGUCAACAUCCCCACUCUAGGAAUGAGCCUCCCCCACGGCGUCCCAUUUCGGCGCCCAAUCCCGCACGGGCGAGCAUGUGUCGCGAUGGCUAUCUCCGGAGUGCCGGCUUGUGGGGAGCGACCCUCACAAGCAUGUGCGAAUGAGCACAAUGGCAAGCAAGCAUAAAAGUCCAUCUCAAGUCUCAAGUCAUCAUGUCUAAAACAUGGAAUGUAGCAAAUCUCUCAAUGGCCUAUCACUAUAUCAUCAUGUCUAAAACAUGGAAUAUAGUCGAUGUCAUGAUGGCCUAUCACUAUGUCUCUAUGUUGCAGUUUCAUACUUUACUAGUUCGGUGCCCC